GACGAACGCUGGCGGCGUGCUUAACACAUGCAAGUCGAACGGAAAGGCCCUGCUUUUGUGGGGUGCUCGAGUGGCGAACGUGUGAGUAACACGUGAGUAACCUUCCCUUGACUUUGGGAUAACUUCAGGAAACUGGGGCUAAUACCGGAUAGGAGCUCCUGCUGCAUGGUGGGGGUUGGAAAGUUUCGGCUGUUGGGGAUGGACUGGCGGCUUAUCAGCUUGUUGGGGGGGGAGUUGCUUACCAAGGCUUUGGCGGGUAGCCGGCCUGGGAGGGUGACCGGCCACCUGGGGACUGAGAUACGGCCCAGACUCCUACGGGAGGCAGCAGUGGGGAAUAUUGCACAAUGGGCGGAAGCCUGAUGCAGCAACGCCGGGUGCGGAAUGACGGCCUUCGGGUUGUAAACCGCUUUCGCCUGUGACGAAGCGUGAGUGACGGUAAUGGGUAAAGAAGCACCGGCUAACUACGUG
rnacentral:rRNA from 1 species